AGUCAGUGGCGGGUGGCGAGCAUAAGCCGUGUGGCGUAUGCGUAGCGAAAGCGAGUCUUAAAAGGCGUUUUUUAGUCGCUUGUCCUGGACCCGAAGCGGGAUGAUCUAGCCCUGGGCAGGUUGAAGCGCGGGUAAGACCGCGUGGAGGACCGAACCCACCUGGGUUGAAAACCGGGGGGAUGACCUGGGGCUAGGGGUGAAAGGCCAAUCAAAUUCCGUGAUAGCUGGUUCUCUCCGAAAUGCAUUUAGGUGCAGCGUCGGUCGAUUGCGUCGCGGGGGUAGAGCUACCGGAUGCUUGCGGGCCCUUGUUGGGUACCAACAGCAGCCGAACUCCGAAUACCGUUGACGUGUAUUCCGGCAGUGAGUCGGCGGGGGAUAAGCUCCGUCGUCGAGAGGGAGACAGCCCAGACCGUCGUCUAAGGUCCCGAAGCGUGUGCUAAGUGGGAAAGGAUGUGGAGUCGCAUAGACAGCCAGGAGGUUGGCUCAGAAGCAGCCAUCCUUGAAAGAGUGCGUAACAGCUCACUGGUCUAGUGGUUCCGCGCCGACAAUGUAGCGGGGCUCAAGCACACCACCGAAGACGCGGCAGCAAUCUUCAUGGUUGCUGGGUAGGAGAGCGUCCUGCGAGGGGCGAAGCGGCGGUGGAAACCGGCCGUGGACUUCGUGGGAGUGAGAAUGCAGACAUGAGUAGCGAGAGACGGGUGAGGAUCCCGUCCGCUGGAUGACCAAGGGUUCCGGGGCCACGUUCGUCGUCCCCGGGUGAGUCGGGUCCUAAGGCGAGGCCGACAGGCGUAGUCGAAUGGAUGAACGGGUGGAUAUUCCCGUACCGACCAUGGACCGGCAAAACCGAGACGGUGAGUACUAACCUCCGCCUCGUGGUGGUUCCUUCCUUCGGGUUGGUAUCGCCGCGUGGCGUUGGGAGCGUAGCCGCAGUAGGUCAGCGCAGGGGUGACACGGAAUGGGAGCCGGCCGCGGAGGUGGUUUUCCGUGGUCAAGCACGCAGCCAGUCAUGUAGGCAAAUCCGCAUGGCGCGCAUGGCGAGGUGUGAUGAUGGGAGCCGUUAUGGCUCGAUAUCCGGUUGUCCAGGCCGUCGAGAAAAGCCUCGGCGUGAGGGCCAUGGCCGCCCGUACCCCAAACCGACACUGGUGGUCAGGUAGAGAAUACCAAGGCGAUCGAGCGAAUCCUGGUCAAGGAACUCGGCAAAUCACUCCCGUGCCUUCGGUAUAAGGGAGACCCGCUGGGGUGAACCGGCUAGCCCGGGGAGCUUUGGUGGGUGGCACAGACCAGGGGGUAGCGACUGUUUACCAAAAACACAGGUGCAUGCGAAGGCGAAAGCCGCUGUAUAUGCACUGACGCCUGCCCGGUGCCGGAAGGUUAAGAGGAUCCGUCAAUCCCUUCGGGGAUGAAGCGGUGAAUUCAAGCCCCGGUAAACGGCGGUGGUAACUAUAACCAUCCUAAGGUAGCGAAAUUCCUUGUCGGGUAAGUUCCGACCUGCACGAAUGGCGUAACGACUUCCCCACUGUCUCGACCAGGAGCUCGGCGAAAUUGCAGUACGAGUAAAGAUGCUCGUUAAGCGCAGAAGGACGAAAAGACCCCGGGACCUUUACUAUACCUUGGUAUUGGCGUUAGGCGCGGAUUGUGUAGCAUAGGCGGGAGGCUUCGAAGCGUGGGCGCCAGCUCAUGUGGAGCCGCAAGGUGAAAUACCGCUCUGUUCUCGUUUGACGUCUAACCUCGACAAGUCAUCCUUGUCAGGGACAGUGCCUGGCGGGUAGUUCAACUGGGGCGGUUGCCUCCCAAAGAGUAACGGAGGCGCUCAAAGGUCCGCUCAGCCCGGUUGGCAAUCGGGUGUCGAGUGUAAUCGCACAAGCGGGCUUGACUGCGAGGACGACGGUCCGAGCAGGGACGAAAGUCGGAGAUAGUGAUCCGGUGCCGGCGCACGGGCGCGGCAUCGCUCAACGGAUAAAAGGUACCCCGGGGAUAACAGGCUGAUCAUUCCCAAGAGUCCAUAUCGACGGGAUGGUUUGGCACCUCGAUGUCGGCUCGUCGCAUCCUGGGGCUGGAGCAGGUCCCAAGGGUUCGGCUGUUCGCCGAUUAAAGCGGCACGCGAGCUGGGUUCAGAACGUCGUGAGACAGUUUGGUCUCUAUCCUCUGCGCUCGUUGGAAUCCUGAGGAGGCCUGCCCAUAGUACGAGAGGACCUGGGUGGACGAACCUCUGGUAUGCCGGUUGUCGCGCCAGCGGCACGGCCGGUUGGCUACGUUCGGGAGGGAUAACCGCUGAAAGCAUCUAAGCGGGAAGCCUGCUCCAAGAUUAGGAUUCCAUGGAUCUUCGAGAUCCUGUAGCCCGCAUGUUGAACACGUGUUUGAUAGGCCGGAGGUGGAAGCCCCGUGAGGGGUGGAGCCGACCGGUACUAACGGGCGAUGGCGACAUAA
rnacentral:rRNA from 1 species